GUGGUUUCCAGAUCUGAUGAAUUACCUGACUGCCAACGCCAAACUUGGGUUUUCCUCUCUGCAGGAUGGAGAGGUUGGAAGGGCUCCUCUUCAUAGGCAACCAGGAGCUGAGAAGACCUCAUUCAUGCUGAGAUAGUCCUGUCUUCAAGAGAAAAGAGCCUUGUCUUACUGUGUUGACCAGCCUGGAGUGCAGUGGUGUGAUCAUGGCUCACUGCAGCCUCGAACUCCUGGGUUCAAGUGAU
rnacentral:lncRNA from 1 species